rnacentral:rRNA from 1 species
GAAACCCGAAAGAUCGAAUGGGGAAAUUCAUUCGCGUUUCGAUCGCCGGCGGCGGUGGCGUAGCGAGACGGACGCGMGUUCGCGYGUCGUCCGCUCCUCGCGACCGCGUCGAAGCCGGGCGUCGAACGCGUGCACUUUUCCCCUAGUAGGACGUCGUGAUCCGUCGGGCGUCGGUCUACGACCCGCCAGGUAGCCCGGACGGACGUCUUCGCGGACGUUUUUCCGUCCGGACCGGCGGUGUUCCGGCCGGCACGCUCGACGGUAUAAACGAAGGCGCGAGGCCGCUGAUAUUUCUCGCAUAUAUUAGCGUUCGGCUCGCGGCAAGCGCGUCCGGCGCACGCAGCAGGUACGGCGAUCGGACCUAGCGCCGAUUCGUCCCCGGACGASUGUUCGCCGCGAAGUUCUCGAACAGACCUCUCGUCUCUCGUGAACACACGAGAGAUCGCCGAUCGACGAC